GAUGAACGCUAGCGGCAGGCCUAAUACAUGCAAGCCGAACGGCAAGUUUGAUAGCAAUAUUGGACCUAGAGUGGCGCAAGGGUGCGUAACACGUAUGCAACCUGCCCGCGACAGGAGGAUAGCUCCCCGAAAGGGGAAUUAACCCUCCAUAACACCAUGAGAAGGCAUCUGAUUAUGGUUAAACCGCAAGGGGUCGCGGAUGGGCAUGCGGUUGAUUAGCUAGUUGGCGGGGUAAAGGCCCACCAAGGCGGUGAUCAAUAGGGGUUCUGAGAGGAAGGUCCCCCACACUGGCACUGAGAUACGGGCCAGAAUCCUACGGGAGGCAGCAGUAGGGAAUAUUGGACAAUGGUUGCAAGACUGAUCCAGCCAUGCCGCGUGCAGGAAGAAGGCCUUCUGGGUCGUAAACUGCGUUUGCCUGUGGAUAAAAUACCCGUGCGCGGGGAAUUGAAGGUAACAGGUGAAUAAGCAACGGCUAACUACGUG
rnacentral:rRNA from 1 species